UGCAAGUACAAAACAUGACAAAAAAUCAGGGCUUACAGUGUAUUUAAGCAACAUUAGCAUUUACAUGAGUGUGGGAAGUGCUUGCACUGAAAUGUUCCAAUGGAAGACAAAGUAAACGUGUGAAUGUGCUAGAUGCAUCUCCAUGUCAACAGUAGGUGAACGUUAUUUGCUGUAAAGAAAUGGGGACAAUUCCGGCUGAAGCCGACAUGGUCUAUACGCUUCCAUGUAUGAAUAUCUACAGAAUGUUGGACCUUUAGAUAAAAAUCAACCUUUCAAUGAAUAUGUCAAUUGUUAGCAUGCUGACAAUUUAUUAGAUGGAUGAGGCAUUUUCUUGGGAGGGGGUGGGCGCCGAAAGAUUUUGCUUGCAUGUGUUGUAACAAAGAUCAAGGAACCCAUCCUAUCAGAACAGUACUGUGGUUUCAGAUAUGCAUUGUAAAAUGUAUAUUGUACAACAUAAUACAUAUAGAUAAAGUACAUAUUGUAAUGGAUUAACAAAUAAAGAUUAUAAAAAUA